AGCCGGGUCCCGCGCAACGGACGGUCGUGAACCCCGUCAGGCCCGGAAGGGAGCAGCGGCAAUGGCCUCAGCCGUGUGCCGCGGGGAAACCUGGCUGUC
rnacentral:SRP_RNA from 1 species